AAGCUCGUUUUUUCAACACUGCUUGUUGCUCUCGCGUUGUGCGCGGUUUGAACAAAUCAAAAUGUACGCGCAUGCGAAAGAAACCAAAGUUAUUUGUACGAUCAGCAAACAAUACAGAAGAUCUCUGCACUAAUUUUCACCUGAGCGCAGCCAGUGCAGUGGGUGUUUCUCUGUGCGUUUUUGUUUUUUGUGUGAUUUGAUUCAAUUUGAUUGAAGGCAGCCCACUUGCCACUUGUGCUGCAACAAAAAAGCGGAAUAAACGCAAAAAAAAAACACUGAGGAGACUGCAAUUGGAACUGAAUGGCAGUUGUCGGCCUUUCGUCUUCUUCAUCAUCUUCGUUCAUUUUGAAGGUAAGC
rnacentral:sRNA from 1 species